AUAGUGUUCACACACAACAGGCGUGCGUUCUGUUAAAAAAUACUACACAUUGUAUGGAACGCAUUUUUAGAUGACUAAUUAAGCUUUACAAUAUUAUCGUAUUCUCGAAACUUUAUCAGAAAUCAAUUUGAUGUCAUGUUAUAUUCCAAAAGUCAACUGCACUGCAAACUCAAGUGACUUCGAAAAACAUCGGUACUAUUAUACCGUUAUACUUUGGUAAGGCUCAUUUCGACUUACAAACAUUUUAAACUCUGAAACAUACAAGGUGCGGCAGUCAAAUCCAACGGUUUAAAAAAAUGUAAAAAAAUGUUUUUAUUUAUUUUUCGCCAAACAAAUAAAAACUAAACAAGUGGAAUUUUAUGUUGUAUAGGUAUUUGGGAGGAAGUAAUGCGAAAGCAGUCCCCUCCCGGUCGUCGGUUUAAACUGCAAAAAAAAAAAAAAAAGGUAUUUAAAAACUUCAUUUUUUAAAGAUUGUGUCACGUAAAUGCCUUCCAUGGAUAGCCACACAUAUAUUACACAUAUAUCAUUAUUUUCGUAAUACGCUUCUACCACGAACGGUGCCUGUUCACUCGAUCAAUGUUCCAUGAUUACUAAAUUUCGGGUAUUUAAAAGCGAUAAGAACAUUUCCAAAAUCUCUACCACUUUAGCUCUGACCACCAGUUCUUUUUAAAUUGUUGGGUUUGACUGCCGCACCAUGUACUAACGUAAAGAUUCGGUCUACAGUAAUUCUGUCACACUAAAUUUUACUCAACUAAAUUAAAUAGUUAUAUAAGUAAUCGCAGUGGAGUAUCAAUCUAAAUAAUAUAAUAUAAAUAUCCAAACUUCAAAAGUACAAUUAAUUUAAAAAUUGAAACGUUUCUAGGUAUAUAUUUGUUUAAGUUAAGUUUACAGUUUAUCUAGAAUAUCCAUAAAUAAUUCAAAUGUCACAGGGCUGUUAGGUAUAUUUGCACGAAUGACAAAAAAUAUCGUAGCUCGCAAAUAUAAGACCAUGUGAAAGGAACUGUUAUCAAAUUUAUGUGUACACGAUUGAGUUAGCCGGUUUUAUACGAUGAUCGAAGUGAUGCUGUUCGCACUAUUGUUUAUGUUAAUCGUGAUCGGAUAUUUUUGUAUUGCGUUCGUUAGUCUAAUAUAGGUAUUAUACUUAUUUUUAGCGCCAUAAUGUUCUCAACGGUCCUGACACAAAACCAAUGUGUUUGCACCUAUAGGCUAUAAUAAAGUAUCAUAAAACGAGAUGACACUUCGACUUAACGAGUCGUGUACGUGUAAUACGACAAUCAAUAAUACCUCAUACUUCUGAAAAUACGGGUCGACCAAACGCAGAGUCCGUUUCAAAAUUUAUCAUUCUUUAUUUUUCUAUUAAUUUCGUAAAUGUGUACCGAAUACUAAACGUUAAUGGACUCGGAAACUGUAUGCUCAGCCUAAUUGUAUUGUUAUCAUAUUAUUUGAUAACAAAAUGAUCAUGUUUUUCUUUGCUAACUUAUUUAUUUCCCUGAGUAUUUUAUUAGAUAUAUAAUACAAAUUAAUACUAAAUACAUCCCUAAAUGUAAAUAAUGGUUUAAUAAUAUUUAAAAAAAGAAAAUGAUGAAGUAACUACGCCAUCUAUGAGAAAAUAUAUUUAUUGAUGUAAGCAAAUAAUAUUAUGUUCUAACUAAUUAUGAAGACAGAUGGAGCUGUAUGUUUAUAAAUGGGUUUUUUAGCAAUAAUAAAACAAAUGGAAUGCAUGAGAAUUAAAAAUGUAAUUAAGUAAUUAUAUAGAAAUAUAAAUAACCAAUCAAUUAUUUUAAAUAUUUCAACUGUCAACAAUACACCAAUAAACAUUUGAUUUAAACAUUAAAGUUAUUGUUAAAGAAAUUAAAAAUUACAAUUUAUACUUAUAUAUUUCUAAUAAAACAAAUCGAUGUUUUGAGUAAAUGUAUCAAAUUAUCAUUUAUAUACUUUUACAGGGUCUAUAGCAGCGGUUACCAACCUGGGGUACGCGAAAAAAUUAUUUUUCGUAUAUUUAUAUUCUAAAUUGAUAUUUGGGGUACGUGAAAUAGUGGUGAGAGAGGUCAAAAGGUACGCGAAUGAAAAAAGGUUGAGAACCGCUGGUCUAUAGACACUAUAAAAUACAUCAAUUACAGUAGAUCAUAAUCGAUUAAUACUCUAAGCCAGUGACGCCCGUAGAGUUAAAGUAACAUUAGAGCACAAAAAAAAAAAAAACAAUUAAAAUCGCACUCUUCAUCAAGAAAAAUGUUAAUAAACAAUAAAACUAUAACAUAAAAAACACAUCUGUUAAUUGAAAAAUUAUAUGUUGAUGUUUAUGUAAAAUAUAUAGAAUAUUAGUGAUGCUAAUUAGAUAGAUGAAAUGCAUAUAAUAUACAUUGCAUAUGCUUCGGAAAUGGCAAUUAGACGGAAGUCUCAUUAUUAUACAGCAGAUUUUAGAUGUUGAUGUCGACACGUUAACGAGUGACAAUCGACAAACGUCGAAAUCGGACCAAGUAUUAGCACGAUUUCAUGCAAUGCAAGAGUCAAUAAUUAAUACUGCGUAUCGCUCGACAGUCGACUAUAAGAAUCCGUUUUAAAUAUAUUAUGUGUAAUGACUGUUCACCCUCUUGUCAUCAUCACUGCUCCAAGAGUACAAAAUGUCUAAACAUUGAAAUUGAAAUCAUUGUAAGUAAAUCUGUGGAAAAAGUUAUAUGUAUAUUAUUAUAAUGUAAUAUAUAUGUCUAUAUUUGUUGUUGAGUGUGAACGUAUUAAACGAUUUGGUAAAUUACAUUGUUAGUCAUAAGCUUAUAAUAUAGUUUAUGAUAUAUUUUAUUCAAAGUCAAUGAAAAUUACUAGUAAAACGUAAACUCUCCACAAACACUUAAAAAAAUACUCAGCAUUGUUUGUAGGCAGUUGAAAAAGUGAUCGGGACACCUUUAAACUGUUGCCAAGUAAAACUCUCUCCUUGUGCACCGAGUAAUUUAUUUUGAAGAUAUACAGUUUACCCACUCCUUGUCUCAGUUUUUGAAAACGGAUUGCACAGUACAACGGUUCUGGUCCGGAGAAUUUUUGCUGGCAAAACGUCAAAUCCCUGUUAACUUGACAGAAUUGCUUUAUUUUGCACUCUCUCUUUGUUCGGGUACCCUUAUUGUCCCACGGCAAUCGCAACCACCCAACCCCCUCUUACACCAUCACCCGUUCGCUCGUCCGUCCGUUCAUCCAUCCAAAACCUUUACACCCGGUGUCGACAAAAACAAAGGAAAUUAUUCGAGAAAUUAUGCUCUCACCGUCUGGUUUUUCCAAAUCAGAAAGUCAGAAAAAUAGGCAUUGUUUUUUUAACCGUGAAAUAUUUAUUUAUUUUCUUAUUACACGAGCCAAGUUUGUAUAUAAUGUUUUCGUUUUAUAACAAAGAUUUAUAAACAAGAAAGAACGUUUAAAUUCUAAAAAUAUAAUUUUUUUAUUCAAACGUUUACGUAAUACUUAUACGAUAAUG